UGGGGAAUAUUGGACAAUGGGCGAAAGCCUGAUCCAGCCAUGCCGCGUGUGUGAAGAAGGCCUUUUGGUUGUAAAGCACUUUAAGCGAGGAGGAGGCUACUUAGAUUAAUACUCUAGGAUAGUGGACGUUACUCGCAGAAUAAGCACCGGCUAACUCUGUGCCAGCAGCCGCGGUAAUACAGAGGGUGCGAGCGUUAAUCGGAUUUACUGGGCGUAAAGCGUGCGUAGGCGGCUUUUUAAGUCGGAUGUGAAAUCCCUGAGCUUAACUUAGGAAUUGCAGUCGAUACUGGGAAGCUAGAGUAUGGGAGAGGAUGGUAGAAUUCCAGGUGUAGCGGUGAAAUGCGUAGAGAUCUGGAGGAAUACCGAUGGCGAAGGCAGCCAUCUGGCCUAAUACUGACGCUGAGGUACGAAAGCAUGGGGAGCAAACAGG
rnacentral:rRNA from 1 species